rnacentral:misc_RNA from 1 species
AAAUCUUGGAAAAUGUGAGCAGUUUUUUCUAGAGUUGAUGAAGGUCCCUCGGAUGGAAUCGAAGUUGAGAGUAUUUUCUUUCAAGAUGCAGUUUGUCUCGCAGAUUUCUGAUCUUAGGAAGAGUUUGGAUGCUGUAGUUUGUGCAUGCGAAGAGAUCCGGAAUUCUGUUAAAGUGAGGGAAGUCAUGAAGAAAAUUUUGUUCCUCGGGAAUACUCUAAAUCAGGGAACUGCCAGAGGUUCAGCAG